GCGUCAGUAGUGCAGCAGGUUAGAGCACGCAUUCGCUGAUAGAGUGAGAUACGGGUUCGAGUCCCGCCUGACGCC